GUGACAUUUUACAUUUUGUUGUGUACCAUUUCGCUACAACAUUCUCCAUUGGAUUUAUUGGUAACUUUUUGAUCACUUUUGUAAAUAAAAAUUACUUAAAUAUUUCAGGAACAUCAUACUAGCCUUUAACGGACAUUCUAUGAACAUUAAGGAAACAGAACAUUUUUUAGCUUCUUGGAACAUUGCAACAUUCCUAAAAUGAUGUAAUUAAAAUUAAGAUAAGUAAUGUUUCAGGAACAUCAUACUAAACUUUAAAAAUCUGUUCCACUAACAUUAAGAAAACCGGAGGUGUUCUUGUUAAAAAAUAAAUAAAUAAAUAAAAAUAAAUUGUAAACUUUCUUAGAACAACAAAAAAAUUGUUAGCUGGGUUUCUAGCAUACAUUUUCAGUGAUCUUGAGAACCUGUCUGACUGGAAAGAGGAAGUAAGAUACCCUAAAACAAAAAUGAGGAAAUACUUUUCUAAAGAAUAGUUUGGCAAAAUUCUACAUUUCAUUCUAGUUAAACUUUUUACUUAUCCUCUCUAACAUUCUGUUCAUGGCAAUAAUUAAAAAUUAUUACAUAUGCAUAUACUUACGCAAUUACAUAUACACGAAUUAUUAACAUCUCAAAAUAAUAAAGACAGAAACAGAAGGAAAUUACACAUUCACAUCUUCAGUAAAUGUAAAAAGGCUGAACUCAGCUCAAAGACCUCCCCACAAAGAUAAAACAAAAACAGGUGAUGUUAAGAAUGCAAAAAAUUUUCCGUUUCACUCCGUAUAAAUAGACAUACAGUAGCUUACAGAGUUUACAGAUGCAGCCCAUGGGAAGAUGCAAGAUGGAAGCCCACGGAACUGAUAAUACAGAGAUGGAGGACUUCAAUACUCAGGCAAAGAACAAGCACUGUGGAACAUCAGGAGUCAGUACAGAUCAACACCUACAUCAGGAACUGUUAGAUAAAAAGAGAAUCUAUUUCACAGACUUCUGAAAGACAAGCAUCACAGUAAACUGAGAGCUGCAGAUGUUCUUCAGUUAACUGCACAUUCAUUACACUCCCAUGAGUCUUGUGCUGAAGAUGAACUGAUUCAGACUU
rnacentral:lncRNA from 1 species